GAUUUUACUAAUUAACAAGUGCUUAACACCGGGUUUGCAGCAUACAUUAAAGAAUAUAACUGUAAGUUUGCAGUGCGGAUGGUGGCAGAUUUUUUGGUAUCGAUCGUCUGUCAUGCGUCACUCGUAAUAUUCCAUUAACUUGACCGUUACUUACAACUUGCGCCUGGCCUCUGUAACCGUCUCUACCGGUUACUGAGUAUCAUCAACAGACUUCCAGCAAAUACCGUACACGAUAAUACACUAAUUCAGGACACUGUCCUAAAAAAGUGGCAAACAAAUUGUUAUCAUUGCCACUCGCUGUACGGCGUCAUUUGCCAAGGGAUCGGCGGCGUUUUCACUCUGUCUGCGGUCGCAUCUCUGUCCAGGGGAUUUUUCUUUUUAUCCAUUUGCGUAUGAUCAACACCGCUGAGUGUUUAUUUGUAAUGUAACAUUGUGUGGGGAAAAAAACUCGUAUACGUUCAAGCUUUACACCACACAGUUAUGUAUCAUACCCAGAAAAGAUUGGAGAACUUAUGGGAGAAGAAUGUGUUAUUAUUGUCACGUGUACGGAUCACAUGUGCAUGAAAUGCACAUCCCUUCUCACUCCUAUGGACUAUCUGCAAAAUGAUCUGAAACUUGUUAAAAAUGCAAUAUUGACCAACCUACAAGAUAAAUACGGAAUGUUACCUAAUGGACAGCCAGAAUGUCCCACUAGUGGCGGUGGAAGUAAUGCUUCAAAUAAAAUAAGACAAGACCCUUCAAAUAUUUAAAUAUACAAAUGCCGUUUUUGUUCAUUCCAAUAUAAUUACAUCACUUUAGUAACCAUAUAAUGCGUUGUCAUACAAAAAAGAAAGAUAAUGAAAAAUCAAAACAAACUGUGACAAUAAUUGUAACCCAGGAACAAAAACCUCAACAGAAACAACAUAAAACCAACCACCAGUUAAACAUCCAAAACCAACUGCGGCAACAAAAAAAAAAAUUUUUACGGAUGUCAACAGGUUUGUUUUUAAAUUCCAACAAAUAAUCUUUCAAACACAUGACUUAUUGAACACAUGGCUUUUCGAAGAUACAAUUUGUCGAUGAUAUAAACUUUCGAACACAUGACUGUCGAACAGGCAACCGGCACCAGGCGACAGGCAACCAGGACACAAUUUUUUUUUCAAGCAUUUAAAGUUUGAAUUUUUAUACCAUUUAUCUAAUUUAAAAUUUAAAAAUUUUUUGUAUUUCAAAAUGUAUAAAAUGUUCAUUUUUAGAGCUAAGGAUUUAAAAUUUAAAACAAGGUUCCACGUAAAUUGGUUAUAAUAAAUUACUUUAUUCACAAUAAUAUCAUCAAAUAUAGGUAUUUAGUAAUAUCAUAGGCUGACCGACCGUCUUCGCUCAGAAUUGUCUUUCUUAUACAAUGAUAUUAUAUCAUUCUAUUCAAAUUGAACACCAUCCAAUAGAGUGACCCACUUGUAACCUAUUGUGCAGCAGAUUGACACCCACUUGCCCACCUUUUUUUUGUUGCUUAUUUGAGUCCAUAGAUAUAAGUUCACUGUACAUAUUAUAUAACUAUUAAAAAAAAACAUAAUUUGAUUCUUAAAUUAUUAUUAUUAUGGGUGUGAAUAUAAUGCAGUGAAAACAUUGUUAAAUGCAUUAUUUUAAACCUAAACAAUUUCACUUUAUAAUGCAACCUACAUAUACCCCAAAAAAUAUAGUUUUUAAAAAAUAUUGAAAAAAUUAAUAUAGAAAGAAAAAUUGAACUAAAAUGGAUAAAAAAAAUCCUAUCAUUUAAAAAAGAGUAAGUGGAAGAAACUCUGCUGUACAUUGGGUCAUUGUAAUGGAUGGUGUACAAUUUGAAUAAAAUUAUGUAAAAUUGUAUACGAUUGCGUAUUUGAUGAUGUUAUUGUGAAAUAAUUUUCAUUUACCCAUGAAUUAUAUUUUUCAAUGAAAACAAAAUAACUUUACUAUAGUAGUUAUUUUUGGUAUAUACCUAAUUUUGUUCUUAAUUUUCUUAUAUUAUGUCUGUAAAAAAUAACUAGUAGUAAAAAUUGAAAAUUAUAUAUACUUUUAACUACCAUAGAAUGAGCAUAACCUAGGUUUCUUUAAUUUCCUGGAAUAAAAAGUAAAUUUGUCAUAAAACAGAAAAAAAUUAUCAAUGUAACUCUAUUUUACGAUACUAAAUAAUUUGUAAAUUUUCAGUUUGAUAAAUGUCAUUAACUAUACUUAUAUAAAAAAUCAUACCUAUGAAUUUCUUUAUUAUUCCUCAAGUGUUAUAAUAAUAACAACUUAUAACUUAUAAGGAACCUUGUAUUAAAUUGUCGAGCUUUUUGACCCAACCAAAAAAAUGUUUUUGACAUUUAUAGAAUUAUACUAAAAUAGUUCAAACACUUCUGUUACUUUUCUGAUAAAAUAAUUUUGUAGAUAGUUAUAUUUCAGUUGGUAGAUUUGAUAGGCUUAAUAUGUUAUUAGACCUUUAAUAGCUAAUUGAUAUAAAAAAAUUAAGGCCAGUAUGCAUAGUCACUUAAUGUGGUACAUAAGACAUAGUUAUGUAACAUUUAGUUUUCUUUUUUAAUUCUCUUUUGCACAUAACUAAUAGAGGUGUAUAUGUUAUCUGCUAAGCGUAAAAUUGCGAAUUAAUAUAUUUUGUUAUUAAUCAAAAAUAUAAAUGUUGAAAUAUGCAAAAUAUGCAUCAUAAAAGUUCCAUAGUUCAAUUAUUUAUUUUACGAAACAAAUUCUGUGCUCACUAGACAUACCGACACAUACGAUCAACCAGAAUAAAAAUGAAAGUGCAUACAAAUACGCGCUCUAAUUAUAAAUCAUAAACUACUCGUACAACGUUUAAUUUUAAUACAUCUAAGAAGCACUCCAAAAAAACAAUUAAAAAAAUUAUAGUGAAAAAAAAGUAAAUAAUAUAUAUAUUUUUAAAAAUAUGUUGUUUUUUGACAACUUAUAGUUAUGGAAAAAUAUAUUUUAAAAACAUUUAUAGUUUUUAAAAGAACAAGUGUCUUAUUUUAGGAAUUAAGAUCUCCAUUAAACUCACUCUAUUUUUAAAACUUUCCAUAGUAUUGUUUUUAGCAUCAAUUUUUACUUUCAUUCUUUGCAAAUCUCCAUCUUUUACAAACCCUUAACCUUAAAUACCCUAUACAUUGUUCAAAGACAAAUCCACCCCUACCAUUACAUUUUUCAAUACUAUCUAUUUUUUCUAAAAGAUCGUCUAACUCUUUCAUUGUUGUAAUAGGCAUUUUAUAUUCAUAUUUAUUGCCAUCUAUUUGUAUAAUUGGCACAAGGUUAUUAUAAAAAAUAACUUUCUUCACAGUUACAUCAUUAGCGUCUCUUUGGUUAAAACCUGUUGCGUUUUGUUCAUUAAGAUGUUCACUCUUCCAAUAUAAACUAGGAAGUACAACUUCCUUAGACAUUUCAAAAAUAAGCCCAUGUAUAUCCCUUGUAAGAUCUUCAAUUCUCAUGGAAGUAUUAUCUGUAUUAUCGGGAAGGUUAUUAUUUUUUUCAGUUUUUGAUUUCAAUGUUGGAUUUAAAUUACAAAUUAAAAAUGAUUUUAGUAAGAAUUUUUUACAUAUUACCUUGUAAAUUUUUCAUUUUUUCUGACGACAACUGUUCAGCAUAACAAUGACAAUUUAAAGAAAAUAAUAUGUGUUAAAUUCCUAAUAAUUUAAAUAACAUAUAGGUACUAAUAUAUAAUAUACAGUCAUAUAAUGUAAAAUUAACAUGUAUAUUAUUAUAUUAUUUAUGAAGUAUAACGGUUGUGAUGCAAAUCACGGUCAAAACUUCAACAAUUAAGCUACGGAGCGACGUAAACCAAUAUAUUCGAUAUACAAACCACGUGGCCUUUAAAACAAACGAACUAUAUUAUGUGAAAAUGUCUAAAAGUCGAAAAACAGCGUAAAAAGCGUAACAUUUUUCGAAAAUGUUUAAAAACCGACCGCCGCCGCCGCGAAGGUACGCGAUUGGUCGCGCUAUAGGGAAUCGACGGGAUUGGCCCGGCGGACUGGGGAAACGGAGCGGUGUUUAAUUUUUUCCAUCAUGAGAUCCUCCAUUAAUUCCCUAUAGAUCAGCUGUUUUUCUUGUGAUUUUAUAGUAUUAGUUUUUUGUGAAAAUUUUGACUUUUCAACAUUUUAUUUUCAUUUAUCUCAUGAUUUUAAAUAAAUUUUUUUGUUUAUAGGUAAAACAACAAAAAACUCGUCCCCCAUCUACGGUUAAUAGGUAUAUCUUCACGGGAUACUCUGUAUAUGCGCGUACUGUAUAUACAGGUUGUAUCUACAUAUUAAAGUGCCAUAAUAAAAACAGCGGCGGUGGCUGCUUAGUUGGCGGGAUAGCGGUGUUAUGACGGCGAAUGAUGUGUAGUGGUGGGGGAGUAAUGUUACGGCGGUGGCGACGAGGGCUUGUACCAUGGCGUUGUAUCAUAACGUGCAGUGCCUUUCUGUACGUAGUCUGUUGUUUGAGUUGUAUGUCCAGAGUUGUUUGGUCUUUUCAGUUGGAAAUUCCUAACCAAAUAACAGUACCACCGAAGCAUUCGUCGUUGUUCCAGUUGUCACAUACUUCAUUUCAUACUUCAGCGCUUACAACGUUCAGUGGUUUCCUUUCUUUCGAAGUUCCUAAACAAAUUACAUUACCACCGAAAUAUUCGUCGUUGUUCCAGUCACAUACUUCAUUUUCCGGGGAGCCGUGCAGUUGAUUUGAAUAUCCCGACGCUGAACGUUUAUUUCCGGUAGUUUCAUUCGCAAGUCAUCAAGCAAUCAUGUC